UCGAGCGCGGGAAGCAGGCAGAUCCUCUUCGGAGGUGACGCCUGUGGAACGAGCGGCGGACGGGUGAGUAACACGUGGGCAACCUGCCUGUAAGAUUGGGAUAACCCCGGGAAACCGGGGCUAAUACCGGAUAAUACUUUUCGUUGCAUAACGAGAAGUUGAAAGGCGGCUUUUAGCUGUCACUUACAGAUGGGCCCGCGGCGCAUUAGCUAGUUGGUAAGGUAACGGCUUACCAAGGCGACGAUGCGUAGCCGACCUGAGAGGGUGAUCGGCCACACUGGGACUGAGACACGGCCCAGACUCCUACGGGAGGCAGCAGUAGGGAAUCUUCCGCAAUGGACGAAAGUCUGACGGAGCAACGCCGCGUGAGUGAUGAAGGUUUUCGGAUCGUAAAACUCUGUUGUCAGGGAAGAACAAGUGCCGUUCAAAUAGGGCGGCACCUUGACGGUACCUGACCAGAAAGCCCCGGCUAACUACGUGCCAGCAGCCGCGGUAAUACGUAGGGGGCAAGCGUUGUCCGGAAUUAUUGGGCGUAAAGCGCGCGCAGGCGGUCCUUUAAGUCUGAUGUGAAAGCCCACGGCUUAACCGUGGAGGGCCAUUGGAAACUGGAGGACUUGAGUACAGAAGAGGAGAGUGGAAUUCCACGUGUAGCGGUGAAAUGCGUAGAGAUGUGGAGGAACACCAGUGGCGAAGGCGACUCUCUGGUCUGUAACUGACGCUGAGGUGCGAAAGCGUGGGGAGCGAACAGGAUUAGAUACCCUGGUAGUCCACGCCGUAAACGAUGAGUGCUAGGUGUUAGGGGGUUUCCGCCCCUUAGUGCUGAAGUUAACGCAUUAAGCACUCCGCCUGGGGGAGUACGGCCGCAAGGCUGAAACUCAAAAGAAUUGACGGGGGCCCGCACAAGCGGUGGAGCAUGUGGUUUAAUUCGAAGCAACGCGAAGAACCUUACCAGGUCUUGACAUCCUCUGCCAAUCCUAGAGAUAGGAUGUUCCCUUCGGGGACAGANUGACAGGUGGUGCAUGUUGUCGUCACCUCGUGUCGUGAGAUGUUGGGUUAAGUCCCGCAACGAGCGCACCCUUGAUCU
rnacentral:rRNA from 1 species